UCCAGGGUAGCCUAGUGGUCAUGGCAUCUGCCCAGUAAGCGGAAGGUCGUGGGUUCGAUUCCCAUCCCUUGAAA
rnacentral:tRNA from 1 species